GGAAGGAUCAUUAUCACGUAUCCACGUUAUAAACCAACUGUGAACUGUUUACAAUUAACCACUUGAACCAAUUAAUUUUACUUUGUUUGUACUGAUUUGUUCUUUACUCAGGUGUAACAACCCGAGAAGGAAUGUAAUACGAAACAAAAGAACAACUCUUAGCAACGGAUAUCUUGGUUCUCGUAACGAUGAAGAACGCAGCGAAAUGCGAUACGUAAUGCGAAUUGCAGAAUUCAGUGAAUCAUCAAAUCUUUGAACGCAAAUUGCGCUUUUUGGAUAGGCCAGAAAGCAUACCUCUUUGAGCAUCGUUUUCACCUCAGCUCGACUGCGCUCUUAAUUGAGUUUGCGUGUCGGAUAAUGAGUUGUCUUGUUCGAAACGAAUAAGUCACUUGAAAUGCGGUGAGUUCUAACCUCUCAUCUUGAAGUGAAUGUGAAGCCUUCGGGUUUUGCAAUGCCGUGUAUACGGUGUUUAAUCACUUUUCAGAUGUUGUGGAUAAUCUUUAUUCAACGACAUUUGGAAUCGAUUGGACGCUAGCCGUGUGCAAUGGUUAACAUUUCGUGAGUAACUUGAGCUCAGUGGAAAUUAAAACUAAUUUUUGAAUUAGAUCUCAAAUGAAGUAAGAGUACCCGCUGAACUUAAGCAUAUUAUUAAGCGGAGGAAAAGAAACUAACAAGGAUGCCCUCAGUAACGGCGAGUGAAGCGGGCAAAGCUCAACCUGAAAAUCGGGUACCCAAGCGGGUGCUCGAAUUGUGGGCUAUAGACGCCGUGAUCAGUGUGUGACCCAGAUAUAAAUCUUUUGAAACAAGGUAUCAUAGAGGUGAGAAUCCCGUCUGUGAUCUGGAGUUCGCCGCGUACGAUCCGUGUUCGCAGAGUCGAGUUGUUUGGGAUUGCAGCUCUAAAUGGGUGGUAAAUUUCAUCUAAAGCUAAAUAUCGACGAGAGACCGAUAGCGAACAAGUACCGUGAGGGAAAGAUGAAAAGAACUUUGAAAAGAGAGUUAAAAAGUACUUGAAAUUGCUAAGAGGGAAGCACUGGAAACCAGUCGCUGACCGCCGUGUACCUUAUCUACCGCUCCUUGAAUCGUGAGUGUCCCAGAGCCCAAAGCCUCGGGUAGCCUACGAAGAGAGUGCGGUGGUGCACUGUACUGGCGGUCGUAUCAGAAUCAAUUUGAUUCGUGAGAGAAAGCUAUGGCAACGGUAGGUCCAAGGGGGCAACUCUGAGGACUGUUUAGUGCUGUAGUGCUAUCAUGGAUUAGAUUGAGGGACAAUCGAAAUGCGCACCACUAGGUUAUCGUCUCCCUGACCCUGAUAGGCAUCAAUACCGUGGACAACAAAGUUGUGCUGGCGUUGAUGUUUGUUACUGGAAAGGAUGAGAUAGACGCUGCAUUCGAGAUUCUGAUGAAAUGGUUUUCAUUGACCCGUCUUGAAACACGGACCAAGGAGUCUAACAUAUAUGCGAGUAUUUGGGCCUGGAAACCCUUAUGCGCAAUGAAAGUGAAGGUUGUCGUAUGACUUCUGAGGUAGGAACCUGCGGUCUCGACUGCAGUGGCACUAUCGACCGAUCAGUCACUUGUGGCAGAUUUGAGUAUGAGCAUAUCUGUUGGGACCCGAAAGAUGGUGAUCUAUGCCUGAACAGGGCGAAGCCAGGGGAAACUCUGGUGGAGGCUCGUAGCGAUACUGACGUGCAAAUCGUUCGUCUGAUUUGGGUAUAGGGGCGAAAGACUAAUCGAACCAUCUAGUAGCUGGUUCCUC
rnacentral:misc_RNA from 1 species